GAAAUGCGAUAAGUAAUGUGAAUUGCAGAAUUCAGUGAAUCAUCGAAUCUUUGAACGCACCUUGCGCUCCUUGGUAUUCCUUGGAGCAUGCCUGUUUGAGUAUCAUGAAAUCUUCAAAGUAAAUCUUUUGUUAACUCAAUUGGUUUCUACUUUGGUAUUGGAGGUCUUUGCAGCUUCACACCUGCUCCUCUUUGUUCAUUAGCUGGAUCUCAGUGUUAUGCUUGGUUCCACUCGGCGUGAUAAGUUAUCUAUCGCUGAGGACACUGUAAAAGGUGGCCAAGGUAAAUGCAGAUGAACCGCUUCUAAUAGUCCAUUGACUUGGACAAUACUUUUAUGAUCUGAUCUCAAAUCCGGUAGGACUACCCGCUGAACUUAAGC
rnacentral:misc_RNA from 1 species